rnacentral:lncRNA from 1 species
GUAUUUAUAAUAAUAAUUUAAUUAUAUUUCGUAAUAUAUAAUUAUAAAAAUUAAAAAAAAUUAAAUAUUAGAUUUUUUAAAAAAAUAUAUAAAUUUGUUUUUUCUAUUUUUCUCUUUAACUUUCAAAAAAAUUAUAUUUUAUUUUUUCAAAAUUUCAAUUAAGUUGAUGUAUUUAACCUCUCUUCGUCAGGAUUACAUCACUAGUUCAUUCAUCUCUUAUAAUUUAUAUCAAAAUUAUCCUAAAAUAACAACUAUUUUUUUGACAUGCACACAUAAUAUUUCUCAAAAAAACAUAUCCCACUACUAUUAAUUUAUUUUUUUUCAUCAAAAGAA